rnacentral:rRNA from 1 species
CGGUAAUUCCAGCUCCAAUGAUAUAUGCUAACAUUGUUGCAGUUAAAAAGCUCGUAGUCGAAUUUUUAAGGGAAUCAAUUUCGUGUGGUCUUAAUGAACUACAAAGGAAGAUGAUUUAUCUUAUUUUGCGCUUAUACACCGUUAAAAUUCGUUUUCUGACAGUGAAUUAAGUGUGUAUUUACUUUGAGAAAAUUAGAGUGUUCUAAGCAGUCUUACGGCUUUAUCCUAAAGCAUGGAAUGAUAAGUAAUGACAUCGGUUAAUUUCUGUUGGUUUGAGAGGUUGAUGUAAUGAUUUAUAGAGUUAGUCGGAGGUAUUAGUAUUUUGUCGUUAGAGGUGAAAUUCCGGGAUCGACAAAAGACUAACAACUGCGAAGGCAUUUACCUAGGAUUUGCUCCUUGAUCAAGAACGUAAGUUGGGGGAUCGAAGACGAUCAGAUACCGUCGUAGUCUCAACUUUAAACUAUAUCAGCUAAAAGUUGGCAAAUGUUUAUAUGACUUUGUUAGAACCUUAAGAGAAAUCAAAGCGUUUGGGUUCCGGGGGGAGUAUGGUCGCAAGUCUGAAACUUAAAGGAAUUGACGGAAGGGCACCACAAGAUGUGGAUCCUGUGGCUUAAUUUGACUCAACGCUGGAAAACUUACCAGGUCCAGACAUAGGUAAGAUUGACAGAUUGAUAGCUCUUUCUUGAUUCUAUGGGUGGUGGUGCAUGGCCGUUCUUAGUUGGUGGAGUGAUUUGUCUGGUUAAUUCCGUUAGCGAACGAGACUAUUACCUGCUAAAUAGUACGAUCUUUUAAUUAGGAUAGUUGCUUCUUAGAGGGACUGGCUUUGCAUAAAUUGCUGGAAGUUGGUAGCAAUAACAGGUCUGUGAUGCCCUUAGAUGUCCUGGGCAGCGCACGGGCUACAAUAGGAGAGUAACUAAGCUUGUUCAACUUAGCUCGAAAAGGGCUGUGAAAUCUUAAAACUAUUCUUUAUUUGGGAUCGCGCUUUGAAAUUUUAACGUGUAAACCAGGAAUACCUAGUAAGUGUAUGUCAUCAACGUGCACUGAAUACGUCCCUGCCCUUUGUACACACCGCCC